ensembl:lncRNA
UGAACAGAUUUCUCUCCUUUGCUAUUUGUAUUCCUACAUGUCAGUGAUCUGACAAAGACCCUGUUUUGACUCUUGUUGUCCCUCAAACUGAGGGUAGCUGUUAAUGAAGAAUGUCCUCUUGAGCUGCCUUAGAUUUGGACCUGCUCUGUGAUCAUCUGCUCACUGGUUUGAGUCUUCUAAGUUCAAGUAUGCAGUGAGCCAUCUGUGAAGAGUGCUGCUUAGCAGGACACUGAGGCUUCCUUUUAUUCAGGAGUUUGCAGCACAGGAGGUCUCCAGGUGUGGAAGUAGGACUCAUAAAUCCCUGUGCUGCUUGCUUCUAAAAUGUGUUACUUAAGAAGUAGAAUUUGGCUGAUUAGGAUGGAAAGAUCAUUUGAGUAAAUGAAUGGCAUGUUCUGGAUUACUUUCCUCUUCAGCUCCUCAAGCAGUGCUUGCUGACCAAAGUGCAUUAAAUAACUGCAUAAAAUAUUUGUGGACUGACUCUCAGGCACAGCAGCAAAAACUGACAUUAAAAAAAAAAAAGGAAAAGAGGGACUUACUGAAAAA